UCGAGUGAAAAAGUAUUUUGCUUUUUGUUUGGAGAUGACACGAGACAACACGAGGGGGUAAGUGAUGACCGAUUUUCGCAUUUCUUUAUUUAGUUAACAAAUAAGUAAAAUAUUACAGUUGUCCUGAUUUUAACUCCGCUUCUUUAUGUAAUGUUAUGUCGGUGUCUCGUGUGGUAAUUGGAACAUCGUUAUUGUGUGACUAAGCAUUUCUUUUAAGCAUUUCAGAAAUCAUUAAAACCUUUCAUUUUUUUUAGCAAGGCGACAUAAAUAUGACCAACCAGAGCCAAGUAGACAGGAACAAAUGAAGAUACAGCCCAUAGAAAUACUUAUUCUUGGUGAUCAACUGCUAUUGACAUUUUUGAAUCGGAACAAAUGUGGAGUGAUUCUGAAGAAAAACGUUUGCAGCACAUCCAUUCGAGGAGGCUAAUUUCUGUCCUUUUGAGUUAUUCAUGUAAAAACCAGUUUUUUUAUUGUAAAGCUGUGAGGGACUUGGCCUAGUCAUCCUUGCAUAUACCAUUUGGCAGGGCUCCAGACUAACUUUUUUUACCAGGAGCACAGUGGCCCCCAACUGAAAAUUUUAGGGGGGCAACCAGAAAAUUUAGGGGCACACACUGUAAAUCAACAUGCUAACCAAAUAUUCACAUGUCUACUAAUUUCCACUGUAUAACUAAUAAAUACUUUAAUUAUAUAUUCAGAAAGUACAAUGUGCUGUUUCAAAUUCAGUGUCAUAUCACAAAAAAAGUCAAAUUUGCUGGUCGCACAUUUCUGAUUUCCUUAAAUCUGCUUAAACAGAGGUGAACCUUAAGUUUGCAAGACCACAAUAGACGGAUGGAAAAUGAUCUAGGUUCAAAUAAAACACAAUUAUCAAUGUAAAACAUAUCCUGUAAUACACACAGGUUGCUUUAUAUCAUGAGCCUGUUCUAAUCCUAUUUUCAUUCCCACUUGUAGAGUGCUGUGACACAUAAACUGACACGCUUGAUGAGGACACCGUCAAAGCUUUAAAAGACCGUGUGAUAAAGCAGUCUUCAAUUACUAUGGUGUCUGAAUUGCAAGAAGAAGUGACCCUCCACUUAAACAUGUGACAUCUAAACUGUUUUGUGUUUUGGUUCAGCUUUUUAUAGGUUUAUCUUAAGUUGGUU